rnacentral:misc_RNA from 1 species
UGCUACAAACACUGAAAUUAAAUCUAAAGGUAAGGUAAAAUAAAGUAUAAGGCUCCAUGUUUUGUUUUUUUCUUUUAAUUAGUCAAGAAAUUGCUUGUUUCACUGGGAGAUAUUCUUUUUGAAGAAAAAUGUUGGAUUUUUUUUCUAUGCUAAAGCAAACGAUAUAUGUAUUAUAUUAUCCGAUUUAUUAUUAGGGAAUGUUAUUUCUAUAUGUUUGUUAAGGGAAUGUUAUUUCUAUAUGUUUGUUAAUCGAGUAAAUCCUUCCACAGAACUACAGUUAAAAUGUAAUUGCUUAAAAUUGUAGUUUUAUUAGUACAAUAUGUCCAAGAAGAAUGAAAUCCCAAUGGUUUUUCAUGCCUUUACAACCAAUAUCUU